rnacentral:rRNA from 1 species
CAGCCGUAAACUAAUGCGCGUUAGGUGUAUCGGUGACCACGAGUCACCGAGGUGCCGAAGGGAAACCGUGAAACGUGCCGCCUGGGAAGUACGGUCGCAAGGCUGAAACUUAAAGGAAUUGGCGGGGGGAGGCACCACAACGGGUGGAGCCUGCGGUUUAAUUGGACUCAACGCCGGGAAGCUCACCGGAUAGGACAGCAGAAUGAUUGCCGGGCUGAAGACCCUGCAUGACUAGCUGAGAGGAGGUGCAUGGCGUAGACGUCU